UACGUAGGGUGCGAGCGUUGUCCGGAAUUAUUGGGCGUAAAGAGCUUGUAGGCGGUCUGUCGCGCCUGCUGUGAAAAUCCGGGGCUCAACCCUGAGCUUGCAGUGGGUACGGGCAGACUAGAGUGCGGUAGGGGAGACUGGAAUUCCUGGUGUAGCGGUGAAAUGCGCAGAUAUCAGGAGGAACACCGGUGGCGAAGGCGGGUCUCUGGGCCGUAACUGACGCUGAGGAGCGAAAGCAUGGGGAGCGAACAGG
rnacentral:rRNA from 1 species